rnacentral:rRNA from 1 species
CCUACGGGAGGCAGCAGUGGGGAAUUUUGGACAAUGGGGGCAACCCUGAUCCAGCAAUGCCGCGUGAGUGAAGAAGGCCUUCGGGUUGUAAAGCUCUUUUGUCAGGGAAGAAACGGUUCUGGUUAAUACCUGGGGCUAAUGACGGUACCUGAAGAAUAAGCACCGGCUAACUACGUGCCAGCAGCCGCGGUAAUACGUAGGGUGCAAGCGUUAAUCGGAAUUACUGGGCGUAAAGCGUGCGCAGGCGGUUGUGCAAGACCGAUGUGAAAUCCCCGGGCUUAACCUGGGAAUGGCAUUGGUGACUGUACGGCUAGAGUGUGUCAGAGGGGGGUAGAAUUCCACGUGUAGCAGUGAAAUGCGUAGAGAUGUGGAGGAAUACCGAUGGCGAAGGCAGCCCCCUGGGAUAACACUGACGCUCAUGCACGAAAGCGUGGGGAGCAAACAGGAUUAGAUACCCUGGUAGUCCACGCCCUAAACGAUGUCUACUAGUUGUCGGGUCUUCAUUGACUUGGUAACGCAGCUAACGCGUGAAGUAGACCGCCUGGGGAGUACGGUCGCAAGAUUAAAACUUAAAUGAAUUGACGG